rnacentral:lncRNA from 1 species
GGGAUUCUGGGCUCACUCCAGUUAAUUCCAACAGAAUCCAAGCAUCAUUCUGAUGGAACUAGUUGCCAUUGUUACUCUACAACUCAUCUCACAUCCACUAACAGCACGAUUGAGGCCAGUGCCAAGAACUUGGAAUGCCAGAGCAUUGAGGGGAGGGCUGAAAGCCAGCAACUCCUGCUAUGUAAUCCCAUUGCUGACACAUUCUCCAUCUGCAAAAAGGGUGGCUUUUCUAGAGGGCAGUCAGUAUCCAUUAGUCAAAACUAUAGAGAUAAGGGGGAGCCUUGCCAAUGUAAGGACUGAAAUCACUGACUGUCCGUAUGUCCUGGUGUGUGUGUGAGGCUGUGGUCCUUCCUCGUGGAGAUGCACGAUGGAGAUUUCCUUCCAAACUUGCCACACCAGAGCAGAUGCACACAUUCUCUGACUGCUUUCUGCUGCUUCAGCUGCCCCUCUGCAUAGACACAAAGAAUGGAUCCUUUUCUCCCUGCCAGCCUCAAGAUGUCAGAAUUAUCCUCUGAGCACUGGAGUAUGGGUGGAAGGAGUCCCAGCCAAGCUAGGGCAUCCCUCCCAGGCCAGUCUGUGUCCAAUUCAGGUCACCUUCUGGUUGUGUCUCGUUUCCUUUGGUCCAGGCUUUAAGAGACCUUAAAAGGCAGCCGGCACCUUCUAGCUUUCAUGGUCACCUGAGCCUCUUGGGGACCAGGGUCCAGACCAGCUGAAAGAGGGAAAGUUGCUAUAGAGAAGGGAAGAGAGGGAAGGAUCAUUAAUAUGACUAAAAGUGCUUAGCACCAUGCCUGGCAUGAGAGGAAGUCACUACAUGUUUAUUCUUUUCUCUUCCUUUCCCUCAAGAACCUGAGGUGGGGUUGGAAUUAAAACAGAGGGACUCUAAUUUCUUUAUUGAGGAGAACAUCAAAGGCAGAUCCAUGAACCCACGGCAAAGUGUUUAAACAAGGAAAAGAUAGGGAAAGGUGAAGGUCCCCAGUUCUGUGACUUUGGCCUGGCAGUGCCCAGAGAACCUCUAUACUAGCUGUGUGUGAGUGGAAAAUAUCUAUUGGCCAGGAAUUGUAGGAAGAUGGCGGGCUGGGGUCUGAAGCUUUCUUACCCUCCUAAAACCUCCCACAACCGACCCAAAAAUCACUCUAUAAAAUUAUCCCUAAAAGAGGCAAAAACAGAUAGGAGUCUGGAGUGAUGCUGAACCGUUAAGGACUAAGACAGAGAAAGUUUUCUAACUUGCCCAGCCUCAAUUCUACCACCCUGGGGACAGGAAGAGAGCAAACAGAGGGAAUCCACAGAGAAGUCCCAGAAGGAAGGAUUAGGAAUUUCCCCUUGUUUGCUGAGUUCUCGGAGCUUGCAUCCUGGGGAUACCAACAGAAUCUGAAUCCACAGGUGAAGGGCUUAGGAGUAGCUGAGUCUGCAUAAGCCUCUGCUAAGGAGACCCCAGCUGAACUCAAGGCUGGGAAGGGGUCCCAGGCCCUAAGGGCAGGAAAUCAAGCCCUAUUGCUAACAAAUGAGGGGCUAUAGAGUCAGGAAAAAUGUGAACUGGAUACCUGCUCUGUCUGGGGCUGGGAACUGUCCACUGGAGUCCUUCCCAGGAGAGUUGAAUCUCUGAUUGUUGCCACAAGGGGAGUCAAACUGGCUACCUGAAGUUCAAGUAGCAGAAUUGCCUUAAUCAUGGAGUGGGAUUUAAGUGGGGAUAUCUGAUUCUGGACAUAAAAAACACAAUCACUAAAAAGGACCCAGGAAAAAAGCAAACAAAAAAAAAAUCCUGAGACCUGAAAUAGCAUACAUCAGCAUAAUAGGAAACAUGUGACUAGAAAAAAAAAACCAAUAAUGAAGUCUAUUGACCUGGCUACUAAAAUUUUUAAAAUAAAUAAAUAAAAGUGAGGAUUCA